rnacentral:rRNA from 1 species
GAUGAACGCUAGCUACAGGCUUAACACAUGCAAGUCGAGGGGAAACGAUAGAGAAAGCUUGCUUUUUCUAGGCGUCGACCGGCGCACGGGUGAGUAACGCGUAUCCAACCUGCCCAUCACUUGGGGAUAACCUUGCGAAAGUAAGACUAAUACCCAAUGAUAUCUCUAGAAGACAUCUGAAGGAGAUUAAAGAUUCAUCGGUGAUGGAUGGGGAUGCGUCUGAUUAGCUUGUUGGCGGGGUGACGGCCCACCAAGGCGACGAUCAGUAGGGGUUCUGAGAGGAAGGUCCCCCACAUUGGAACUGAGACACGGUCCAAACUCCUACGGGAGGCAGCAGUGAGGAAUAUUGGUCAAUGGACGAGAGUCUGAACCAGCCAAGUAGCGUGCAGGAUGACGGCCCUAUGGGUUGUAAACUGCUUUUAUAAGGGAAUAAAGUGAGUCUUGUGAGACUUUUUGCAUGUACCUUAUGAAUAAGGACCGGCUAAUUCCGUGCCAGCAGCCGCCGUAA